CCAAACCCGCGGACUGUGGGCUCUUUUACUUAAUUAGCUUCCCAAUUCCUCCCAGCCAUUAUCAACGCUCCCCACCCUCUCCUCCCAGCCUCCCAAUGGCUUAGGAUCAGGCAGCUGUGCCCACUCUCCCCUUCAGGAACCGCCUCUUAGAAUCCAUCUCAAGCUGCCUUCCACGGAGCUGCUAGGCUGCCCUGGACCCUCUCGGUGCCCAGACUUCUCCGGAGCUUGCCGCCAGCCAAGACCAGAACUAGAUCUGGUAGGACACUAAACCAGGAUGAAAAUCCUGCUGUGUCUACAAUUUGAGUACUAAAUAAAAGAUUUGGCAAAUUC
rnacentral:lncRNA from 1 species